rnacentral:misc_RNA from 1 species
GAUGAAGAACGCAGCGAAAUGCGAUAAGUAAUGUGAAUUGCAGAAUUCAGUGAAUCAUCGAGUCUUUGAACGCACAUUGCGCCCCCUGGUAUUCCGGGGGGCAUGCCUGUCCGAGCGUCAUUGCUGCCCUCAAGCACGGCUUGUGUGUUGGGCCGUCGUCCCCUUCCUAGGGGACGGGCCCGAAAGGCAGCGGCGGCACCGCGUCCGGUCCUCGAGCGUAUGGGGCUUCGUCACCCGCUCCGUAGGCCCGGCCGGCGCUUGCCGACGACCAUCAAUCUCUUUCUCCAGGUUGACCUCGGAUCAGGUAGGGAUACCCGCUGAACUUAAGCAUAUCAAUAAGCGGAGGA